UACAUGUGGGGCAAGCGUUGUUCGGAAUUACUGGGCAUAAAGGGUGCGUAGGCGGCUUGUUAAGUCAGUGGUGAAAGUUUUCGGCCCAACCGGAAAAUUGCCGUUGAUACUGGCGAGCUUGAGUGCGUGAGGGAUAGGGGGAACGAGCAGUGUAGCGGUGAAAUGCGUAGAUAUUGCUCGGAAGGCCAGAGCCGAAGGGGCCCCUAUUGGUACGUAACUGACGCUGAGGCACGAAAGCGUGGGGAGCAAACAGG
rnacentral:rRNA from 1 species